rnacentral:sRNA from 1 species
GGUGCUGAGAACCUGAGUUUCGGCAAGCAGCCAGAAUAUUUUAAAAAUGACUACACCAAACAAGACACCUCCUGGUGCUGACCCCAAGCAGUUGGAAAGGACUGGAACAGUACGGGAAAUUGGGUCACAAGCUGUUUGGUCACUCUCAUCUUGCAAACCAGGAUUUGGAGUGGAUCAGUUACGAGAUGACAAUCUAGAAACUUAUUGGCAAUCAGAUGGUUCCCAGCCUCAUUUAGUGAACAUCCAAUUCAGAAGAAAAACAACAGUGAAGACAUUAUGUAUUUAUGCAGACUACAAAUCUGAUGAAAGCUAUACUCCAAGCAAGAUCUCAGUCAGAGUAGGAAAUAAUUUUCACAACCUUCAAGAAAUUCGGACAUACAGAAAAACUCAAAGAAUUGUACAGUGAAUGCCAGUAUACUCACUUCCUAGAUUCUUCAGUUGUUAAUAUUUUGCUAUAUUUGCUUUAUUACAAUCUGUCCAUCUAAUUUUUUUGUGCACUUAAAAAUAACUUGUGCAUAUUUGUCCAUUUCACCCCAAAUACCAGUGUGAUAUAUUGGUAGAGUUAUCAACAUUUGCUUAAUUUUCAUUUUUUAAGAUAAAAUUUAUGCACAAUUUUGCAUAAUCUUAAGUAUAUUACUUGGUGAGUUUUGACAAACACAUACAUUUAUGUAAUCCCAACUCCUGUUAAAAUAUAGAACAUUUCCACCACUCCAGAGAAUUCCAUCAUAUCUGUUCCUAGUUCAGUCUUC